CUUGGGCUACCGAAUGGCAGCAAGGUGGAAUCCGAUGUCAGCAUACCAAAGCCCAUCAAGAGGAAGCUCACGACGCGGAAUCUAAUAGUUCCCUACGUCGUUGCAGCCUAUCGUUGCGACGGUGAAAGUGGGAGAGCAAGAAUAGCACUCGCUUCGAAAGACGUCGAGAGGCCUUCCAAACUGCUAAGAGACUUGGAAGAUUUACUGAGACGUUUGGGAUACAAGUCCCUCAGAACAACGCCGUCGACAGUGUAUCAGACCGUUCAUGGUCUGCAUCGAAGAUGGGUUCUGAGCCUAGAAGACAAACAAGAGAAGCAACAAUUCAAGAAGAUGGUUCAAGAUUACAGCUCUAUCAGUCACCUGGACCUCCAGAGUUGACGGCAAGGCGAAAAGCCGGCCUGACAGGAAGUUUAAACGCAGAACUUUCUGCAACGAAAGUUUGGCCUAGCGAUCCUCCAAGUCCUCACUGUUGGGGGCUGGAGGUGACAGAAAAGUUACCCCAGGGGUAACAGGCUCGUCGCGGGCGAGAGCUCCAAUCGACCCCGCGGUUUGGUACCUCGGCCCAUUGUGGGCCUUGGGGCAGAAUCGUGGUAACGCGAUUGAAGUAUCCGCAGAAAAAUACGAGUAUCGGCUUAUAUCGGCGAAACCCGACCUCCUUUAACCAGGAGCCGCGGCAACGCGGUUUGAGGGAAGAGCGGGAGAGGGCAACGCCGAGGGAAGUCCAACGGGACUUCAGCACCCGAUCUGAUGGAAGUCAAAAUUUGGUGACGCCAUGAACGGCGUCCCAACAACAGCACACAUCUAGCUUGCAGGCAGGGCAGUCGACCGCGGAGGGCGCCUCUCGGCACUCUUCCGGGGAACAGCCGCAGUCUGCACAGCGCAUCGCGAGCUUCGUCGGCACGUCCGGCAAGCUCGACUUCGAGUCUAAUACGACUUUCAUCCGAUUGGAAACUACAGGUAGGUUCGGUCAGGCAUCAUCGCGGAUGGCAAGCGCGAGGUUUCAGGGUCGAAUCCGGCAGGCCUUAAUAGGACCGCGCCGGGUCAGACAAUCGCCUGGUCAGACGAUCAGGCGUCGGCUAAGCGACUCAUCAUCACGAUGCGGCCGCUCGGUCUGGUCUUGUCAUCAUCCCCGGCGCCGACGAAACAGCGUCGGGGAGCAUAUAGCGACCAACCUCGUUUUUGCCUAACAUCCCGGAUGCCACCGAAAAUCAGUCCAACGCAAGUUGGGCGGAGGUCCGGCCGUUCCGUUGUGACCCCGUAACGACUGAGCGCGCAGAAGUGUGCGUAAUGAGAUGGCCUCGCGGCUAGCUCGAGCAUCCCGCAAGGGACGCGUCAUGUUCCGACAUGGCGCGACAAGGGCGCAAGCCCCUCGGGUGUGCCAAACCGAAACGAGGCUAUCAUACGCCGACCCCACGAGUGCUCGUGGGUGAAGACAUAGUCUAACUCCGGGCGUAAGCCUGGGUAAAGUUGCGAUGUCGGCUCUUCCCAUCCUGGUCCUGCAGCAGGGGCCAAGGGUGGGGCUGCUCGCCCAUCAAAGGGGAACGUGAGCUGGGUUUAGACCGUCGUGAGACAGGUCGGCCUCUACCUGAUGGAAGCGGUGGUUCACUGAGGGGAAGCCCUGCCCAGUACGAGAGGAACAGCGGGGCGUUGCCUCUGGCGUACCGGUCGUCCGAGAGGGCGUCGCCGGGCAGCUAAGCAAUCGUGGAUAACCGCUGAAAGCAUCUAAGCGGGAAGCCACUCCCGAGAAGAGUGAGCCUUAGGCCUUAACCCCUGCAGCAAUGUGGGGGAGCGGGCCUUGGAGGGGAGCGAUAGAAGAUCGCGUUGAAGUGGUGGGGGUGUACGCUGGAAGCUUCGGCGACCAGUUCAGCCCGUCCACUAACUAUACCCCAACGCAGGAUGAGU
rnacentral:rRNA from 1 species